CGUAGGUGGCAAGCGUUGUCCGGAAUUAUUGGGGCGUAAAGGGCGCGCAGGCGGCCGAUUAAGUCUGAUGCGAAAUCCCACGGCUUAACCGUGGAGGGUCAUUGGAAACUGAUUGGCUUGAGUGCAGAAGAGGAGAGUGGAAUUCCACGUGUAGCGGUGAAAUGCGUAGAUAUGUGGAGGAACACCAGUGGCGAAGGCGGCUCUCUGGUCUGCAACUGACGCUGAGGCGCGAAAGCGUGGAUAGCAAACAGGAUU
rnacentral:rRNA from 1 species